rnacentral:misc_RNA from 1 species
UUUCCGUAGGUGAACAUGCGGAAGGAUCAUUCAUAAUAAAGUGUUUUAUGGCACUUUUUAAAAAUCCAUAUCCACCUUGUGUGCAAUGUUAGAUCUCGUCAAUCUUGGCGAGAUUUUUAUACAUCAACUCAUUCUUUAACUAAUUUGUCUGAAAAAUAUUAUGAAUACUUAAUUCAAAAUACAACUUUCAACAACGGAUCUCUUGGCUCUC